rnacentral:rRNA from 1 species
AGCAGUAGGGAAUCUUCCACAAUGGGCGAAAGUCUGAUGGAGCAACGCCGCGUGAGUGAAGAAGGGUUUCGGCUCGUAAAACUCUGUUGUUAAAGAAGAACAUAUCUGAGAGUAACUGUUCAGGUAUUGACGGUAUUUAACCAGAAAGCCACGGCUAACUACGUGCCAG